UCCCUUGCAUAAAAUUUUAAUAAAUUUGAAUGUGUGGAUGAGUAUAAGAUGAUCUUUAUGCUGCGAUUUAAUUAGUAAGAAUGGGGACUCCUUUUUAUGGUUGCACUUAAGACCCAAAGUAAUUCUGAACUCUGAAGGGUGUCUUUAUUUUUUGUUUUCUCAUGCCCCUUAUAUGCUUCAUUUUUUAUCAUAUCUACAGUUUAGUUACAGUAUUGCGUCUUGACUCUUUUCCCUCUUUUUCCUUUCUUCUUGAAGCAUAUACUCUGAGCUAACUUCCUCUGCUAAAGAAGAUAACCCA
rnacentral:misc_RNA from 1 species